AACCCGGUAUUCAGCCAGACACGGUCUCCAUGCAUUUUAUGGAGGGAAACAGAUGGGUGAACAGAAUCCAACAGAUCGUAAGGCAGACAUCCGGACAACAAACUGGCAGCAAACAGAACUGGGCAGAACAGACAGGACAGGUUAAAAAUAGACAGGAUCAAGGUGCUGAGGGUUCUUACCAAAAGGGACCAGACUGAGGCAACAAAUGAAUGGAUGACAUGAAACAAACCGACGGGGAGCAGAGAACUAAAGCAGGCUUAAAUAGGCGGACAGACAGGAGGCGGAGCCCACUGAUUGUGCUCCACAACUGCUGCGUGCAGGUGUCAGCAGAGGCUGAUUGACACCAAAAAAAAAUGAGCCUGGAUGGAAGGACAGGGGAGCUGAUCCUGCAGGUGACAGAGACAGACACGCUGCCGAGCGAAGGGCAGGUGGGAUCCGCACGCCAGACACAGAAUACCGCGAGGUCUGCCCCUCUGCCCGCACCUCUGGAUCGGUCUGAAAAGCGGCGUGGCACGCCGAAGAGUGGAACAGUGCUGGAGUGCCGCAGAAUCAGCUGUUGAUCAGCAACAGUGUGCGCUGUAGACGGAUUGCCUCCACCAGAAGGAGCAUAGUAAGCGAAUGAUAAAUGGUGACUUUUAAAGGACAAUUAUUGAAUCUUGGACUUUUAAAAAAAGGGAAAGGGACUGUUUUAUCAUGCCACUAUUACAGUGGCUUUUGUUGUAAUAAAACAUCUUGGGCUUGA